UACGAAGGGGGGCUAGCGUUGCUCGGAAUGACUGGGCGUAAAGGGCGCGUAGGCGGCUUGCACCGUCAGAUGUGAAAUUCCUGGGCUUAACCUGGGGGGCUGCAUUUGAUACGUGUGGGCUUGAGUGCGGAAGAGGGUCGUGGAAUUCCCAGUGUAGAGGUGAAAUUCGUAGAUAUCAAGCGGAACACCGGUGGCGAAGGCGGCCUUCUGGACAGUGACUGACGCUGAGACGCGAAAGCGUGGGGAGCAAACAGG
rnacentral:rRNA from 1 species